rnacentral:rRNA from 1 species
AUUGAACGCUGGCGGCAGGCCUAACACAUGCAAGUCGAGCGAGCGGCGGACGGGUGAGUAAUGUCUGGGAAACUGCCUGAUGGAGGGGGAUAACUACUGGAAACGGUAGCUAAUACCGCACACCAUCAGCUGUGCCCAGAUGGGGUUGACUCGUGGGUGGGGGAACGGCGCACCUAGGCGACGAUCCCUAGCUGGGCUGAGAGGAUGACCAGCCACACGGGAACUGAGACACGGUCCAGACUCCUACGGGAGGCAGCAGUGGGGAAUAUUGCACAAUGGGCGCAAGCCUGAUGCAGCCAUGCCGCGUGUAUGAAGAAGGCCUUCGGGUUGUAAAGUACUUGCAGCGGGGAGGCGUUACCCGCAGAAGAAGCACCGGCUAACUCCGUGCCAGCAGCCGCGGUAAUUC